rnacentral:rRNA from 1 species
ACGGAAUAGAUACCCCGGUAGUCCACGCCCUAAACGAUGUCUACUAGUUGUUGGGAGAGUAAAAUCUCUUAGUAAACGCAGCUAAACGCGUGAAGUAGACCGCCUGGGGAGUACGGUCGCAAGAUUAAAACUCAAAGGAAUUGACGGGGGCCCGCACAAGCGGUGGAUUAUGUGGAUUAAUUCGAUGCAACGCGAAAACCUUACCUGGCCUUGACAUGCUACUAACGAAGCAGAGAUGCAUUAGGUGCCCGAAAGGGAAAGUAGACACAGGUGCUGCAUGGCUGUCGUCAGCUCGUGUCGUG